GAUGAACGCUGGCGGCGUGCUUAACACAUGCAAGUCGAACGGGACUUACUUUAUUGAAACUUCGGUCGAUUUAAUUUAAGUCUAGUGGCGGACGGGUGAGUAACGCGUGGGUAACCUGCCUCACACUAGGGGAUAACAGUCAGAAAUGACUGCUAAUACCGCAUAAGCGCACAGCAUCGCAUGAUGCAGGGGUAAAAGAUUUAUCGGUGUGAGAUGGAUCCGCGUCUGAUUAGCCAGUUGGCGGGGUAACGGCCCACCAAAGCGACGAUCAGUAGCCGGCCUGAGAGGGUGAACGGCCACAUUGGGACUGAGACACGGCCCAG
rnacentral:rRNA from 1 species